UUAUGAGAGUUUGAUCCUGGCUCAGGACGAACGCUGGCGGCGUGCCUAAUACAUGCAAGUCGAACGCUUUUUCUUUCACCGGAGCUUGCUCCACCGAAAGAAAAAGAGUGGCGAACGGGUGAGUAACACGUGGGUAACCUGCCCAUCAGAAGGGGAUAACACUUGGAAACAGGUGCUAAUACCGUAUAACACUAUUUUCCGCAUGGAAGAAAGUUGAAAGGCGCUUUUGCGUCACUGAUGGAUGGACCCGCGGUGCAUUAGCUAGUUGGUGAGGUAACGGCUCACCAAGGCAACGAUGCAUAGCCGACCUGAGAGGGUGAUCGGCCACACUGGGACUGAGACACGGCCCAGACUCCUACGGGAGGCAGCAGUAGGGAAUCUUCGGCAAUGGACGAAAGUCUGACCGAGCAACGCCGCGUGAGUGAAGAAGGUUUUCGGAUCGUAAAACUCUGUUGUUAGAGAAGAACAAGGAUGAGAGUAAAAUGUUCAUCCCUUGACGGUAUCUAACCAGAAAGCC
rnacentral:rRNA from 1 species